GACGAACGCUGGCGGCGUGCUUAACACAUGCAAGUCGAACGGUAAGGCCCUUCGGGGUACACGAGUGGCGAACGGGUGAGUAACACGUGGGUGAUCUGCCCUGCACUUCGGGAUAAGCCUGGGAAACUGGGUCUAAUACCGGAUAGGACUCCUGGCUUCAUGGUUGGGGGUGGAAAGCUUUUGCGGUGUGGGAUGGGCCCGCGGCCUAUCAGCUUGUUGGUGGGGUAAUGGCCUACCAAGGCGACGACGGGUAGCCGGCCUGAGAGGGUGACCGGUCACACUGGGACUGAGAUACGGCCCAGACUCCUACGGGAGGCAGCAGUGGGGAAUAUUGCACAAUGGGCGCAAGCCUAAUGCAGCGACGCCGCGUGAGGGAUGACGGCCUUCGGGUUGUAGACCUCUUUCAGCUAUGACGAAGCGCAAGUGACGGUAGUAGCAGAAGAAGGACCGGCCAACUACGUGCCAGCCGCCGCUGUAA
rnacentral:rRNA from 1 species